rnacentral:rRNA from 1 species
AACGAACGCUGGCGGCAUGCCUAACACAUGCAAGUCGAACGAGACCUUCGGGUCUAGUGGCGCACGGAUGCGUAACGCGUGGGAACCUGCCUUUAGGUUCGGAAUAACUCAGAGAAAUUUGAGCUAAUACCGGAUGAUGUCUUCGGACCAAAGAUUUAUCGCCUUUAGAUGGGCCCGCGUUGGAUUAGCUAGUUGGUGGGGUAAAGGCCUACCAAGGCGACGAUCCAUAGCUGGUCUGAGAGGAUGAUCAGCCACACUGGGACUGAGACACGGCCCAGACUCCUACGGGAGGCAGCAGUGGGGAAUAUUGGACAAUGGGCGAAAGCCUGAUCCAGCAAUGCCGCGUGAGUGAUGAAGGCCUUAGGGUUGUAAAGCUCUUUUACCCGAGAUGAUAAUGACAGUAUCGGGAGAAUAAGCUCCGGCUAACUCCGUG